rnacentral:lncRNA from 1 species
GGGUUGUCCCUCAGGUGCCCGAGGCCGAACGGUGGUGUGUCGUUCCCGCCCCCGGCGCCCCCUCCUCCGGUCGCCGCCGCGGUGUCCGCGCGUGGGUCCUGAGGGAGCUCGUCGGUGUGGGGUUCGAGGCGGUUUGAGUGAGACGAGACGAGACGCGCCCCUCCCACGCGGGGAAGGGCGCCCGCCUGCUCUCGGUGAGCGCACGUCCCGUGCUCCCCUCUGGCGGGUGCGCGCGGGCCGUGUGAGCGAUCGCGGUGGGUUCGGGCCGGUGUGACGCGUGCGCCGGCCGGCCGCCGAGGGGCUGCCGUUCUGCCUCCGACCGGUCGUGUGUGGGUUGACUUCGGAGGCGCUCUGCCUCGGAAGGAAGGAGGUGGGUGGACGGGGGGGCCUGGUGGGGUUGCGCGCACGCGCGCACCGGCCGGGCCCCCGCCCUGAACGCGAACGCUCGAGGUGGCCGCGCGCAGGUGUUUCCUCGUACCGCAGGGCCCCCUCCCUUCCCCAGGCGUCCCUCGGCGCCUCUGCGGGCCCGAGGAGGAGCGGCUGGCGGGUGGGGGGAGUGUGACCCACCCUCGGUGAGAAAAGCCUUCUCUAGCGAUCUGAGAGGCGUGCCUUGGGGGUACCGGAUCCCCCGGGCCGCCGCCUCUGUCUCUGCCUCCGUUAUGGUAGCGCUGCCGUAGCG